rnacentral:rRNA from 1 species
GACGAACGCUGGCGGCGUGCCUAAUACAUGCAAGUAGGACGCACAGCCUAUACCGUAGCUUGCUACACCAUAGGCUGUGAGUUGCGAACGGGUGAGUAACGCGUAGGUAACCUGCCUAUUAGAGGGGGAUAACUAUUGGAAACGAUAGCUAAUACCGCAUAACAGUAUGUAACACAUGUUAGAUGCUUGAAAGAUGCAAUUGCAUCGCUAGUAGAUGGACCUGCGUUGUAUUAGCUAGUAGGUAGGGUAAUGGCCUACCUAGGCAACGAUACAUAGCCGACCUGAGAGGGUGAUCGGCCACACUGGGACUGAGACACGGCCCAGACUCCUACGGGAGGCAGCAGUAGGGAAUCUUCGGCAAUGGGGGGAACCCUGACCGAGCAACGCCGCGUGAGUGAAGAAGGUUUUCGGAUCGUAAAGCUCUGUUGUUAAAGGAAGAACGAGUGUGAGAAAUGGAAAAGUUUCAUACU